rnacentral:sRNA from 1 species
CGCCUAACCCUUGCGGUGCAGUUCCGUAAGACAUGGCGAAAACUCCAUCCCUAGUAAAAAGCUCCUCGUCCGGGCACUAGGGAUGGUCAUAACUCGAAAGGGUUAUGGGUGGCCGAAAGGCCGCC